AGGGCGAACAACUAUGCUGGUUUGCCUGAGACUGAGACAGUUUUAAAACUGGCAAAGUCCUGGGCAAACUGGGGCGAGGUGGU
rnacentral:miRNA from 1 species